AGCAGCCGCGGUAAUUCCAGCUCCAAUAGCGUAUAUUAAAGUUGUUGCAGUUAAAAAGCUCGUAGUUGAAUUUCGAGAUCAGUACGCUGGUCGUGCCUUCGGUAUGCACUGGUGUCACUGGUUUCUCCCUUCUGAAGAACCGUCAUGUCAUUAAGUUGGUGUGGCGGGGAAUCAGGACUGUUACUUUGAAAAAAUUAGAGUGUUUAAAGCAGGCUCGCGCUUGAAUACAUUAGCAUGGAAUAAUGAAAUAGGACGUUUGACCCUAUUUUGUUGGUUUCUAGGAUCGACGUAAUGAUUAAUAGGGAUAGUUGGGGGCAUUAGUAUUCAAUUGUCAGAGGUGAAAUUCUUGGAUUUAUUGAAGACUAACUACUGCGAAAGCAUUUGCCAAGGAUGUUUUCAUUAAUCAAGAACGAAAGUUAGGGGAUCGAAGACGAUCAGAUACCGUCGUAGUCUUAACCAUAAACUAUGCCGACUAGGGAUCGGAUGAUGUUAAUUUUUAAUGACUCA
rnacentral:rRNA from 1 species